UACGGGGGGUGCGAGCGUUGUCCGGAAUCACUGGGCGUAAAGGGCGCGUAGGUGGCCUGAUAAAGGUGUGGUGAAAGUCCGGGGCUCAACCCCGGAUCUGCCGUGCCGACUGUUAGGCUAGAGUACUGUAGGGGCAGGCGGAAUUCCGGGUGUAGCGGUGGAAUGCGUAGAGAUCAGGAGGAACACCCGUGGCGAAGGCGGCUCCCUGGUCCGUCCCUGACGCUGAGACGCGAAAGCGCGGGGAGCGAACGGG
rnacentral:rRNA from 1 species